GAGGCUUUCCGUGAAGGGUAACGGGAAACCGGUCCUCAAAGGCACCCCAAAACCGAGGAGUCAGGAGCUGGGCUGCUGCGAUGAGCUGGGGGCAUCAACCGUCAGUCCCGCCUGUGGCUCUGGUGGCGGCACAGCUCUCUCCUGGAGCCUCAUGACAUACCUGCGGACAUGCAUUGGUGGGAGAAAUGAAGCCUUUGCACAUCGGCUGUCGGGUUGCUAAGAGGGACACCUGAAGCCCCGAGGAAGAACCGGUCCCUGUCGUCUCUGGAGUUUGGGCCUUGAAAUAUUCUGGCCGGAUAUGAGCAAAGUAGCAGUCCAACCACUACGGCAAAGAUUUACACAUAUUUUAAGUGUUCGCUGUCACAAAACUGUUAAUGAACUGAUAGUGUGUUGUGUAGUGUGAUCAUCUUACAUGUUCUUCUUUUCUGCUUAACUCAAUAGCUCCUUUGGACAGCGUUACAGUGACUCCGUCUGCCUCCGGCAUUCUGUCGUUCCACUCCUGGACCUGUGAAAACAUUCAAACAGAAACGAUAAGGACCAAGGUGAUGAACCCACAUCAUUGUGGCGAGACAGAAGCUCCGGAAGUCCGUCUUGCUCUUUGCAGGGACCCCCUUAUGUUGGCUGACCCCCUUGCAGCGCUGGAGGAAUCAAAGGGUCCAUGACUAUGGUAUGACUAUCACACCCCUGUACAGUCUAUUACACCCAUCACAAAUGAAUUACAAUGCCUAACUGACUCUACGUUCACACACUUCCCUACCUGUCAUGCCCCUCUUGGAUCAAGAAUCCCUUUGAGUGGAAGUACUCUGCCAAGGAGUCACAAGACGGGUCCUCCCUGACCAAUUUCCUGACCUGUGAGAAAUUCAUAACCCUCCCCUCUCUUGCCCACUUCUCUUGUGACUCCUUGGCCCUCAGGACUUCCUCCUGGAUACGGCCAUCCUCCGCAUCCCUCAAGCAGGAAUUUCUUAAAUGAUGGUCAAUUUUGAUCUGGGGCUUAAGACAAAUCAAGCAGUGGACCACGCUGCAAGGCUUCCUGUACACAGCUGAAGAACGUCCUGAUUAUUUCUCAUGGUAUCUCUUCUCUCCAGCUGGUGGACAACUUGAGACACUGACGGUCAGUGAACAGAUUCGAGUCGGUCCUCACCAGAGGCAAUUCAGCAAAUGUGUCCAGGGGUAACAGGUGGAGGCGUACCUGGUGUCUGGCCCACCUCUGAACUUGCACCGGUCGAGCAGCGGAACCACAACAACACCAACUUGCCCAGCAGGAACAGGUAGUGUUCAGCAGAAAUGGAAUUGAUGUACAAAAAUGGGAAAGGUUCUUCUAAGCAGUGUCUAAGGAAAAAGAGGCCUGUUUUUUUUUUUUUGUUUUGUUGCAUUUAUAGUCACGAUCUUUUUUUUUUUUA